GAUGAACGCUGGCGGCGUGCCUAAUACAUGCAAGUCGAGCGAACGGACGAGAAACUUUCUUCUCUGAUGUUAUCGGCGCACGCGUGAGUAACACGUGGAUAACCUCCCUAUUAGACUGGGAUAACUUAGGGAAACCGGAGCUCAUACCGGAUGAUCUUUUGAACCGCAUGGUUCAAAAGUGAUAGACGGUCUUGCUUUCACUUAUAGAUGGAUCCGCGCUGCAUUAGCUAGUUGGUAAGGUAACGGCUUACCAAGGCAACGAUGCAUAGCCGACCUGAGAGAUGGAUCGGCCAAACUGGAACGGGGAAACGGUCCGGACUCCUACGGGAGGCAGCAGUAGGGAAUCUUCCGCAAGGGGCGAAAGCCUGACGGGGAAACGCCGCGUGAGUGAUGAAGGUCUUCGGAUGGUAAAACUCUGUUAUUAGGGAAGAACAUAUGUGUAAGAAAAUGUGCACAUCUUGACGGUACCGAAUCAGAAAGCCACGGCUAACUACGUG
rnacentral:rRNA from 1 species